rnacentral:rRNA from 1 species
UACAGAGGUCUCAAGCGUUGUUCGGAUUCAUUGGGCGUAAAGGGUGCGUAGGCGGCGCGGUAAGUCGGGUGUGAAAUCUCGGGGCUUAACUCCGAAACUGCAUUCGAUACUGCCGUGCUUGAGGACUGGAGAGGAGACUGGAAUUUACGGUGUAGCGGUGAAAUGCGUAGAUAUCGUGAGGAAGACCAGUGGCGUAAGCGAAUCUCUGGACAGUUCCUGACGCUGAGGCACGAAGGCUAGGGGAGCAAACGGG